rnacentral:tRNA from 1 species
GGGCCUGUAGCUCAGCCUGGUAGAGCGCCUGCAUGGCAUGCAGGAAGUCCGGGGUUCAAGUCCCCGCAGGUCCA